CUACGGGCGGCUGCAGUGAGGAAUUUUGCGCAAUGGGGGAAACCCUGACUCAGCAACGCCGCGUGAGCGAAGAAGGCCUUCGGGUCGUAAAGCUCUGUCAAGUGGGAAAAAACGCUUUAGAUUAACAGUCUAAAGAAUUGAUGGUACCACUGGAGGAAGCACCGGCUAACUCCGUGCCAGCAGCCGCGGUAAUACGGAGGGUGCAAGCGUUGUUCGGAAUUACUGGGCGUAAAGCGCGUGCAGGCGGUUUGGCAAGUCAGAUGUGAAAGCCCUGGGCUCAACCCGGGAAGUGCAUUUGAAACUGCCUUUCUUGAGUAUGGGAGAGGAGAGUGGAAUUCCCAGUGUAGAGGUGAAAUUCGUAGAUAUUGGGAGGAACACCCGUGGCGAAGGCGACUCUCUGGACCAAUACUGACGCUGAGACGCGAAAGCGUGGGGAGCAAACAGGAUUAGAUACCCGAGUAGUC
rnacentral:rRNA from 1 species